CCAGUAAUCCAAUUCAAUAACAACACUGCAUAGUUGUAUACGACCAAAUCUUCUACAACAUUUUAGCUACUCAUAUUGCAAUAACAAUUCAGCUAUUAAUGACAAGCUGUGCCAUUCAACCAAGUACAAAACUCCUGCAAUUUUGAAGUAACUCGACACAAACCAGCAGUCUAUCAGUGUACAAAAUAGUCUAGCGAAGUCCAUCAUUUAUACACUACAAAUCGACACUCAGUUAUAUAAAACAGUGCAUCCAAUAUCUGUUAACUACUGAUAUGCAACAAUCCAGCAAGCAGAUUUCAUGACCAAAACAGUUGGGCAACUCUAUUCCAUUUCCGAGCUUGGAAUUACAGUAGAAUUUCGAGUGUAUACCUGGAGAUAUAAAAUGCAAUGAAGAAGAAGAGGAAGUCAGCAACAAUCAAUGUAAUUCAAUAACCCAGCAAAGGUUGACCAACACAGCAACAAUAUGAGACAUUUUUUAAAAUCAAAACUAGCUUUAAUUUACCAGGAACACUUCAGUCGACCCAAAAUAUCAACAAACUAGCCAAAAUGAGUUAAUUGAAACCAAACACUAUCCGAAACCAACAGAAACCCAUAGAAGAACUUCAAAUUACUAGAAAAUCAAUGAAACAGUAUUAUUUUGAUCUAUUACUGGAUCUGAUUCGUUGUUUUUAUUUUUUUUACACUAAGAACUGGAAGAAAAACCAGCUUAGUUGGACCCAAACCUUCACUUGAAAUCAAUUCGUAUAUCUCUUAACCUCCAAUAUCAGAUUAUGAACUAGGAAAUGAAAGCCAAACUUGAAAUUAAACUCCAAUUUUAAUGGAACAAUCACUUUUUUUGGUUUUAUCAGAUUUUUCAUUGUUUUUGUUUUUUUUUUUUUUUUGGGUUUGAAUUUUUAACUUGAAAUUAAACUCCAAUUUUAAUGGAACAAUCACUUUUUUUGGUUUUAUCAGAUUUUUCAUUGUUUUUGUUUUUUUUUUUUUUUGGAUUUGAAUUUUUAAUUCUAGAUCUGAAUUUGGAGAUGGAGUUUUGGAGGAGAAUUUUGGGCUUCCUAACUUGUGUUUCAAGGUAUAUGGAUGUCCUUUUAUAAGCCAAAAGAGGGCAGCCCUCAAAUCUUCCAUUUACACUAUAAGUUCAUAUAUUUCUUCAUUUUAACCCUCCUAUUUCUAACUUGUUUCCCAAGUAACUACUACUAAAAUUAUUAAAACUUACACUAUCUCCCUGUUUGGAAUGUCUUGGAAGGUUCUUUUAGCUAUACAAUGCCUAUACUACACCUAUCCUGAUUUUGAAAUUACUAUUCUUAAUAAAACUACUCUUUUCCAUGCCUAAACUACCCUUGACUUAAACCUGAAAUUACUAUCCUAGUUCCACAUGAAUUCAAUCCUCUUUUAUCCUAAUUAAAAACAUAACCACAGCUAACUAAAUGCACUAAUCAUCUAUACCCAAACAAUUAUCCUAAACAAAAUCUCUAAUAACAUAGAUAUUGAACAAACGACUAAUAUUACUGAAAUUAGUCCCAAAUCAAAUUUUCAUAUGAACAUAACCAAGAACAAUCAACUUGACCAACAACCCAAUAUCAAUUAAGCAAUCAGAAUCAACACAGUGGAAGAAAUUAACUUAAACUAACAAAUACAGAUAGAACAUUUAUGACCCAAACUGAUUAAUCGUGACGAUUCUAAAACUAAGGCUAUGAUUUAACUAAAACAAAACAAAGUAUGAAUUAAAAAACAAACUAACACAUAGGCAGGAUUAAUGGAUUAAAGAGACGAGUAAACGAAUUGGACGCGACAUUAAACUAUCCUAAUAAAAUAAACAACCAAUCAAGCAUGUCAUUAACUUAGUUAAAAAAAACCACACAGAAUUGGGCCAAAUGACGGGAAAAGAAUGAGAAGGAAGAAAUUAAACUAUACUAACUAAAAUUAAGUCCAAAAAUUGAAGAAAACUUACUAGAAAAGGCACUCGAUCGACAAAACUUUCCAAAACCCAAUUGAACCCGUAUAACCCUAGAUUUGAAUUCUGUUUCAACCCGGUGACAUUUGACGGAAACUGACUCUGGAUUUAUGAAUAAGAGGACGAUGAGACUGUAUGGUAACAAACUCAGCUUGUUUGGACACUUCUGUGUAUUGGGCAAAACUUUCGACCACAUAUUCGAACAGCUAGGGUUUGAUUCGAAAGAAAUCUUUGCCAUGGAUGGGAAGAGGAGAGUGAGGAAGAUGAAGGGUGUAAUUUUGGUGGUGAUUGGAGGUGGGUCGCCACCCUAGUGCGGUGGGGUUUGGUGGCGGCGGGAUUAGAGUUCGUUGUUGGUCUCUCAGAGACAUGGGGUGA
rnacentral:lncRNA from 1 species